rnacentral:rRNA from 1 species
AACGUAGGGGGCAAGCGUUAUCCGGAAUUACUGGGUGUAAAGGGAGCGUAGACGGUAAUGUAAGUCUGGAGUGAAAGGCGGGGGCCCAACCCCCGGACUGCUCUGGAAACUAUGUUACUAGAGUGCAGGAGAGGUAAGCGGAAUUCCUAGUGUAGCGGUGAAAUGCGUAGAUAUUAGGAGGAACACCAGUGGCGAAGGCGGCUUACUGGACUGUAACUGACGUUGAGGCUCGAAAGCGUGGGGAGCAAACAGG